rnacentral:ncRNA from 1 species
UUUAACGCGAUGAAGAAGAGAAGUACCAUAAUCCUCUUUUUUUAAGAGAGCUGGUGGAUGGUGAAAACCAGUAAAAGAAUUUAUGGGAAUGGACUUUGGAGCAUCUUGCUGAAACCAGUUGGAAGUAGGCACAGACGGUUCACAACCGAUAACAGUGGCAGGAGAGCGAAACAAAUGCUUCCUGCAAUGAGUGGGUUUCUUUCGAAAUCAACAAAGGUGGUAUCACGGGUCUUCCCGUCCUUUUU